rnacentral:lncRNA from 1 species
UCGACUUUGAUCAAACCAUGUCCCGACUUUUCUUCAUCACUAGUACAUGGAAUUUGUGGCAUGGCUCAAGUUUUGCAGGCCUGAGAGAUAAUCAUUGCCUUCUAAAUGGUGUUUGGUUCCACGGACUAAAGUUUAGUCCCUAUCACAUCGAAUGUUUAGAUACUAAUUAGGAGUAUUAAUCAUAGACUAAUUAUAAAACCAAUUGCACAGAUGGAGGCUAAUUCG